UUCAAGAAGCACAAGCUGGUCAAAGCCACCGCACAACUACAGGAGAAGAUCUGCUCUCAUCAUGACAAACUGCUGGAGGUUUACUGUCGUACCAAUCAGGCCAUGAUACAGUGUCAGCUCGAGCAGAGAGGACUGAGAAACUGAGGCAGCUGAGGAUGAGUCAGCAGAAGGUCCAGCAGAGAUUCCAGGAGAGAGAGAAGGAGCUGAAGGAGCUCCAAAAGGUUGUGAAGUCUCUCAAGGAGGGGGUGACAAGGGCCUCAGCCAGACCCAGUAGGAUGUACUGGGGAGCCAGCUGGAUGCAGGCCAUGGAGGACACCUGGAGCACCUUCCCUGACAGGGCCUGCUCCGUCAGAGGAUAGCCCUUCCUGUGGACCUCAGACAGGCCCUCCACCAGGACAGACAGGCCCGCUACCAGGACAGACAGGGACGCACUCAUGACCCAGUGCUGGGAGAGGAGA